CCUACGGGGCGCAGCAGUGGGGAAUAUUGCACAAUGGGGGAAACCCUGAUGCAGCGACGCCGCGUGAGUGAAGAAGUAUUUCGGUAUGUAAAGCUCUAUCAGCAGGGAAGAAAUAGCGACCUUUGGGUCGCCAGACGGUACCUGAUUAAGAAGCCCCGGCUAACUACGUGCCAGCAGCCGCGGUAAUACGUAGGGGGCAAGCGUUAUCCGGAUUUACUGGGUGUAGAGGGAGCGUAGACGGUGAUGCAAGUCUGGAGUGAAAGGCGGGGGCCCAACCCCCGGACUGCUCUGGAAACUGUGUAACU
rnacentral:rRNA from 1 species